rnacentral:rRNA from 1 species
UUAAGCGACUAAGCGUACACGGUGGAUGCCCGGCAGUCAGAGGCGAUGAAGGACGUGCUAAUCUGCGAAAAGCGACGGCGAGGUGAUAUGAACCUUUGACCCGUCGAUGUCCGAAUGGGGAAACCCAGUGUGAUUCGUCACACUAUCGUUAACUGAAUACAUAGGUUAACGAGGCGAACCGGGGAACUGAAACAUCUAAGUACCCCGAGGAAAAGAAAUCAACCGAGAUUCCCCAGUAGCGGCGAGCGAACGGGGAGCAGCCCGAGUCUGAAUCAGCUUGUGUGUUAGUGGAAGCGUCUGGAAAGUCGCACGGUACAGGGUGACAGUCCCGUACACGAAAAUGCACAGGUUGUGAACUCGAAGAGUAGGGCGGGACACGUGGUAUCCUGUCUGAAUAUGGGGGACCAUCCUCCAAGGCUAAAUACUCCUGACUGACCGAUAGUGAACCAGUACCGUGAGGGAAAGGCGAAAAGAACCCCGGCGAGGGAGUGAAAAGAACCUGAAACCGUGUACGUACAAGCAGUGGGAGCACCUUCGUGGUGUGACUGCGUACCUUUGUAUAAUGGGUCAGCGACUUAUAUUCUGUAGCAAGGUUAACCGUAUAGGGGAGCCGAAGGAAACCGAGUCUUAACUGGGCGUUAAGUUGCAGGGUAUAGACCCGAAACCCGGUGAUCUAGCCAUGGGCAGGUUGAAGGUUGGGUAACACUAACUGGAGGACCGAACCGACUAAUGUUGAAAAAUUAGCGGAUGACCUGUGGCUGGGGUGAAAGGCCAAUCAAACCGGGAGAUAGCUGGUUCUCCCCGAAAGCUAUUUAGGUAGCGCCUCGUGAACUCAUCUUCGGGGUAGAGCACUGUUUCGGCUAGGGGCCAUCCCGGCUUACCAACCCGAUGCAAACUACGAAUACCGAAGAAUGUUAUCACGGGAGACACACGGCGGGUGCUAACGUCCGUCGUGAAGAGGAAACAACCCAGACCGCCAGCUAAGGUCCCAAAGUCAUGGUUAAGUGGGAAACGAUGUGGGAAGGCACAGACAGCCGGAUGUUGGCUUAGAAGCAGCCAUCAUUUAAAGAAAGCGUAAUAGCUCACUGGUCGAGUCGGCCUGCGCGGAAGAUGUAACGGGGCUAAACCAUGCACCGAAGCUGCGGCAGCGACACUAUGUGUUGUUGGGUAGGGGAGCGUUCUGUAAGCCGUCGAAGGUGUGCUGUGAGGCAUGCUGGAGGUAUCAGAAGUGCGAAUGCUGACAUAAGUAACGAUAAAGCGGGUGAAAAGCCCGCUCGCCGGAAGACCAAGGGUUCCUGUCCAACGUUAAUCGGGGCAGGGUGAGUCGACCCUAAGGCGAGGCCGAAAGGCGUAGUCGAUGGGAAACAGGUUAAUAUUCCUGUACUUGGUGUUACUGCGAAGGGGGACGGAGAAGGCUAUGUCAGCCGGGCGACGGUUGUCCCGGUUUAAGCGUGUAGGUGUGUGUUCGCAAAUCCGGUUCACUUUAACACUGAGGCGUGAUGACGAGGCACUACGGUGCUGAAGUGAUAAAUGCCCUGCUUCCGGAAAAGCCUCUAAGCAUCAGGUAACACGAAAUCGUACCCCAAACCGACACAGGUGGUCAGGUAGAGAAUACCAAGGCGCUUGAGAGAACUCGGGUGAAGGAACUAGGCAAAAUGGUGCCGUAACUUCGGGAGAAGGCACGCUGAUAUGUAGGUGAAGUCCCUGCGGACGGAGCUGAAAUCAGUCGAAGAUACCAGCUGGCUGCAACUGUUUAUUAAAAACACAGCACUGUGCAAACACGAAAGUGGACGUAUACGGUGUGACGCCUGCCCGGUGCCGGAAGGUUAAUUGAUGGGGUUAGCGGCAACGCGAAGCUCUUGAUCGAAGCCCCGGUAAACGGCGGCCGUAACUAUAACGGUCCUAAGGUAGCGAAAUUCCUUGUCGGGUAAGUUCCGACCUGCACGAAUGGCGUAAUGAUGGCCGGGCUGUCUCCACCCGAGACUCAGUGAAAUUGAACUCGCUGUGAAGAUGCAGUGUACCCGCGGCAAGACGGAAAGACCCCGUGAACCUUUACUAUAGCUUGACACUGAACACUGGUCCUUGAUGUAGGAUAGGUGGGAGGCUUUGAAGCGUGGACGCCAGUCUGCGUGGAGCCGUCCUUGAAAUACCACCCUUUAAUGGCUGGUGUUCUAACGUGGACCCGUGAUCCGGGUUGCGGACAGUGUCUGGUGGGUAGUUUGACUGGGGCGGUCUCCUCCCAAAGAGUAACGGAGGAGCACGAAGGUUAGCUAAUCUGGUCGGACAUCAGGAGGUUAGUGCAAUGGCAUAAGCUAGCUUGACUGCGAGAGUGACGGCUCGAGCAGGUGCGAAAGCAGGUCAUAGUGAUCCGGUGGUUCUGAAUGGAAGGGCCAUCGCUCAACGGAUAAAAGGUACUCCGGGGAUAACAGGCUGAUACCGCCCAAGAGUUCAUAUCGACGGCGGUGUUUGGCACCUCGAUGUCGGCUCAUCACAUCCUGGGGCUGAAGUAGGUCCCAAGGGUAUGGCUGUUCGCCAUUUAAAGUGGUACGCGAGCUGGGUUUAGAACGUCGUGAGACAGUUCGGUCCCUAUCUGCCGUGGGCGCUGGAGAAUUGAGGGGCUGCUCCUAGUACGAGAGGACCGGAGUGGACGCAUCACUGGUGUUCGGGUUGUCAUGCCAAUGGCACUGCCCGGUAGCUAAAUGCGGAAGAGAUAAGUGCUGAAAGCAUCUAAGCACGAAACUUGCCCCGAGAUGAGUUCUCCUGAGACUUUAAGUCUCCUGAAGGAACGUUGAAGACGACGACGUUGAUAGGCCGGGUGUGUAAGCGCAGCGAUGCGUUGAGCUAACCGGUACUAAUGAACCGUGAGGCUUAACCUU